AGCUUGGUGUAGUAGUGGUUAGAGUGUUGGACUACAUCUCUGGAGACCAGGGUUCGAAUCCUGGCUCAGCUG